UUUCCGUAGGUGAACCUGCAGAAGGAUCAUUGUCGAAACUUUAUUAGACAAUCGCGAACCUGUUUUAAUACGUUGACAAAUCGCGUGGGGUAACUCCGCGGGAAGUCCUUUCUCGCAUGGGCUGUGGGCUAACAAACUCCGGCGCGGCAUGCGCCAAGGAAAUUUAAUGAGAACGUCCGACCCUAUCGCCCCGUUUGCGGAGAGCGAGUAGGGAUGUGCCUCAAUGUCUAAACGACUCUCGACAACGGAUAUCUCGGCUCUCGCAACAAUGAAGAACGUAGCGAAAUGCGAUACUUGGUGUGAAUUGCAGAAUCCCGUGAACCAUCGAGUUUUUGAACGCAAGUUGCGCCCAAAGCCUUUUGGCCGAGGGCACGCCUGCCUGGGCGUCACGCAUCGCGUUACUCCCUUCCUACACAUGGAUAAUGGCCUCCCGUGCGCGUUAGCUCGCGGUUGGCUUAAGUUAUAAGUCGUGGUGCACACCGUCACAACAAGCGUUGGUUGAGACUCCUAGUCUGGCUCUCCUGUUGGGUGCGCGUUGCGUCCAUGACGACCCAAUGGCGUGAACGCUCACGCCUUCGAACGCGACCCCAGGUCAGGCGGGACCACCCGCUGAGUUUAA
rnacentral:rRNA from 1 species